rnacentral:rRNA from 1 species
UACGGGGGGUGCGAGCGUUGUCCGGAAUCACUGGGCGUAAAGGGCGCGUAGGUGGUUUUGUAAGUCUAUGGUGAAAGCCCGGGGCUCAACCCCGGGUCUGCCGUGGAUACUGCGAGACUUGAGUACUGUAGAGGCAGGUAGAAUAUCGGGUGUAGCGGUGGAAUGCGUAGAGAUCCGAUAGAAGACCGGUGGCGAAGGCGGCCUGCUGGACCUUUUCUGACGCUGAGGCGCGAAAGCUAGGGGAGCAAACGGG